rnacentral:rRNA from 1 species
GAGUUUGAUCAUGGCUCAGAUUGAACGCUGGCGGCAUGCCUUACACAUGCAAGUCGAACGGCAGCACGGGAGCUUGCUCCUGGGUGGCGAGUGGCGAACGGGUGAGUAAUGCAUCGGAACGUAUCCUGGAGUGGGGGAUAACGUAGCGAAAGUUACGCUAAUACCGCAUAUUCUGUGAGCAGGAAAGCGGGGGACCUUCGGGCCUCGCGCUCUUGGAGCGGCCGAUGUCGGAUUAGCUAGUUGGUGAGGUAAAGGCUCACCAAGGCGACGAUCCGUAGCAGGUCUGAGAGGAUGAUCUGCCACACUGGAACUGAGACACGGUCCAGACUCCUACGGAGGCAGCAGUGGGGAAUUUUGGACAAUGGGGGCAACCCUGAUCCAGCCAUGCCGCGUGAGUGAAGAAGG